UCCGGUGGUCACAGCGGUGGGGCCACACCCGUUCCCAUCCCGAACACGGCAGUUAAGCCCACCAGCGCCGAUGGUACUUGGACGGAGACGUCCUGGGAGAGUAGGUCGCCGCCGGAU
rnacentral:rRNA from 1 species